AGAGUUUGAUCAUGGCUCAGAAUCAACGCUGGCGGCGUGCCUAACACAUGCAAGUCGAACGCGAAAGGGGCUUCGGCCCUGAGUAGAGUGGCGAACGGGUGAGUAACACGUGGGUGACCUGCCCUCGAGUGGGGGAUAACAUCCCGAAAGGGGUGCUAAUACCGCAUGACAUCCUGCCUUUGAACAGGCGGACAUUAAAGCCGGGGAUCGCAAGACCUGGCGCUCGAGGAGGGGCUCGCGUCCGAUUAGCUAGUUGGUGGGGUAAUGGCCUACCAAGGCGACGAUCGGUAGCCGGCCUGAGAGGGCGGACGGCCACACUGGGACUGAGACACGGCCCAGACUCCUACGGGAGGCAGCAGUGGGGAAUUGUUCGCAAUGGGCGCAAGCCUGACGACGCAACGCCGCGUGGAGGAUGAAGAUCUUCGGGUCGUAAACUCCUUUCGAUCGGGACGAACGGCUGGUGAUCGAAUACAUCACCAGAGUGACGGUACCGAGAGAAGAAGCCCCGGCUAACUUCGUGCCAGCAGCCGCGGUA
rnacentral:rRNA from 1 species